GUGAGGAAUAUUGGUCAAUGGACGGAAGUCUGAACCAGCCAUGCCGCGUGCAGGAAUAAGGUCCUAUGGAUUGUAAACUGCUUUUAUUCGGGAAUAAACCUCUUUACGUGUAGGGAGCUGAAGGUACCGAAGGAAUAAGCACCGGCUAACUCCGUGCCAGCAGCCGCGGUAAUACGGAGGGUGCAAGCGUUAUCCGGAAUCAUUGGGUGUAAAGGGUCCGCAGGCGGGCUAUCAAGUCAGAGGUGAAAUCCCACAGCUUAACUGUGGAACUGCCUUUGAAACUGAUGGUCUUGAAUUAAGUGGGCGUUGGCGGAAUAUGACAUGUAGCGGUGAAAUGCAUAGAUAUGUCAUGGAACACCGAAAGCGAAGGCAGCUAACGAUACUUAUAUUGACGCUCAUGGACGAAAGCGUGGGUAGCGAACAGGAUUAGAAACCCGUGUAGUCC
rnacentral:rRNA from 1 species